rnacentral:rRNA from 1 species
GAUGAACGCUGGCGGCGUGCCUAAUACAUGCAAGUCGAGCGAACAGACGAGGAGCUUGCUCCUCUGACGUUAGCAGCGGACGGGUGAGUAACACGUGGAUAACCUACCUAUAAGACUGGGAUAACUUCGGGAAACCGGAGCUAAUACCGGAUAAUAUAUUGAACCGCAUGGUUCAAUAGUGAAAGACGGUUUUGCUGUCACUUAUAGAUGGAUCCGCGCCGCAUUAGCUAGUUGGUAAGGUAACGGCUUACCAAGGCAACGAUGCGUAGCCGACCUGAGAGGGAGAUCGGCCACACUGGAACUGAGACACGGUCCAGACUCCUACGGGAGGCAGCAGUAGGGAAUCUUCCGCAAUGGGCGAAAGCCUGACGGAGCAACGCCGCGGGAGUGAUGAAGGUCUUCGGAUCGUAAAACUCUGUUAUUAGGGAAGAACAAAUGUGUAAGUAACUAUGCACGUCUUGACGGUACCUAAUCAGAAAGCCACGGCUAACUACGUG